GCGGUAAGGCCCUUCGGGGUACACGAGCGGCGAACGGGUGAGUAACACGUGAGCAACCUGCCCCUGACUCCGGGAUAAGCGGUGGAAACGCCGUCUAAUACCGGAUAUGACCUGCCACCUCAUGGUGGCGGGUGGAAAGUUUUAUCGGUCAGGGAUGGGCUCGCGGCCUAUCAGCUUGUUGGUGGGGUAACGGCCUACCAAGGCGAUUACGGGUAGCCGGCCUGAGAGGGCGACCGGCCACACUGGGACUGAGACACGGCCCAGACUCCUGCGGGAGGCAGCAGUGGGGAAUAUUGCACAAUGGGCGAAAGCCUGAUGCAGCGACGCCGCGUGGGGGAUGACGGCCUUCGGGUUGUAAACCUCUUUUACCACCAACGCAGGCUCCGGGUUCUCUCGGGGUUGACGGUAGGUGGGGAAUAAGGACCGGCUAACUACGUGCCAGCAGCCGCGGUAAUACGUAGGGUCCGAGCGUUGUCCKGAAUUAUUGGGCGUAAAGAGCUCGUAGGCGGCAUGUCGCGUCUGCUGUGAAAGACCGGGGCUUAACUCCGGUUCUGCAGUGGAUACGGGCAUGCUAGAGGUAGGUAGGGGAAACUGGAAUUCCUGGUGUAGCGGUGAAAUGCGCAGAUAUCAGGAGGAACACCGGUGGCGAAGGCGGGUUUCUGGGCCUUACCUGACGCUGAGGAGCGAAAGCAUGGGGAGCGAACAGGAUUAGAUACCCUGGUAGUCCAUGCCGUAAACGUUGGGCGCUAGGUGUGGGGACUUUCCACGGUUUCCGCGCCGUAKCUAACGCAUUAAGCGCCCCGCCUGGGGAGUACGGCCGCAAGGCUAAAACUCAAAGGAAUUGACGGGGGCCCGCACAAGCGGCGGAGCAUGUUUGCUUUAAUUCGACGCAACGCGAAGACCCUUACCAAGGUUUGACAUCACCCGUGUACCUGUAAAGAUACAGGGUCAUUUAUUUGGUGGGUGACAGUUGCUGCAUGGCUGUCCUCAGCUCGUGUCGUGAGAUGUUGGGUUAAGUUCCGCAACCAGCGCAACCCUUGUUCUAUGUUGCCAGCACGUAAUGGUGGGGACUCAUAGGAGACUGCCGGGGUCAACUCGGAGGAAGGUGGGGACGACGUCAAGUCAUCAUGCCCCUUAUGUCUUGGGCUGCAAACAUGCUACAAUGGCCGGUACAAUGGGCGUGCGAUACCGUAAGGUGGAGCGAAUCCCUUAAAGCCGGUCUCAGUUCGGAUUGGGGUCUGCAACUCGACCCCAUGAAGGUGGAGUCGCUAGUAAUCGCGGAUCAGCAACGCCGCGGUGAAUACGUUCCCGGGCCUUGUACACACCGCCCGUCACGUCAUGAAAGUCGGCAACACCCGAAACUUGUGGCCUAACCCUU
rnacentral:rRNA from 1 species